rnacentral:rRNA from 1 species
AUACGGAGGAUCCGAGCGUUAUCCGGAUUUAUUGGGUUUAAAGGGUGCGCAGGCGGCCAUUUAAGUCAGCGGUUAAGUCGUGGGGCUCAACCCCAUUCUGCCGUUGAUACUGGGUGGCUUGAUUGCGGUCGAGGUUGGCGGAAUUCGUUGUGUAGCGGUGAAAUGCAUAGAUAUGACGAAGAACACCGAUUGCGUAGGCAGCUGACCAGACCGCAAAUGACGCUCAUGCACGAAAGUGCGGGGAUCGAACAGGAUUAGAUACCCUGGUAGUCCGCACAGUAAACGAUGAAUACUUGUUUUCGGCGAUAUAAUGUCGGAGGCAAAGCGAAAGCGAUAAGUAUUCCACCUGGGGAGUACGCCGGCAACGGUGAAACUCAAAUGAAUUGACGGGG